rnacentral:lncRNA from 1 species
CCAUGGAUUUAUUAAUGGGAAUAAAGUAGAUAAUAUCUUUGUCUAUGCAUUCUCAAUUGUUUUGAUGCAACAUCAUCAACAAUUUCUUGACAUCACCCAUAAUUAUUGUAUGACAUCAGAGGAGUGACAUUAUUAGAAUUUAUUUCACAUGUGAAAUUGUAUUGCAUUGGGAAAUCACAUGAUUCUUAUAAAUGAGAAUGAGAAAGAGC